UUCGCCCGGGCGCUGCCCUCUGCCUGCUGUCCCCUGUGCUCCUGUUCCCCGUGGCUGCCCAGGGACAGUGACUCGAAGGAAUUGGGUCUUGAGACACAGCCGAGCCUGUGAGCGCUGACCUGUGUAAAGAAGACACCAGAAUGAGAUGUCUCCACACACAGAGAGCUGCAGCCGAUGCCGGCCGGUGACUUGGGACUUGGAUGCUUAACAGGAGGCUCCCCCUCUCUUGGGAGGUAGAGAGCAGUGAGGAAGGGGACUCAGCCUCCAUGCCUCCCGCCAGCCCAGCUGCGCCCGAAUCACCUCCCUCCUGAAAGGAUGUCAGCCUCUGCUUGGACACCGUGGAGACAGGGCCCUCCUUGUGCUUCAGAAGCAUCAACGUGUCAGAAAAUCAUCUUCACGCCAAGUCUGGAAAAAAUGGCUUUGAGGUUGUGCACACAAAGGAAGGAGGGAGAGCCCCAGGUGUCGCGGAGGACCAUGCGGCUGACAGAGCCAGCAGGGCGGUGGCGUGUGAGCCGUGCUCUGGAUAUAUAAGGAUCUGACGCUGCUGGCAAUGUCUGAGCUCUAUGCUCGCCCAUCUGUCGGCUGCUAUCAUCACCGGGUGGGAUUAGCGGAGAUCCACUCUUUCAUAUUUAAAUCUUCACAAGAGAAUGAAUCACUUUUAUAAUAAAAGAAAAAGACCGU
rnacentral:lncRNA from 1 species